rnacentral:misc_RNA from 1 species
UUUCACAGUCUGAAUUAGUUCAUACUUACACAUGCAUGGCUUAAUCUUUGAGACAAGCAUAUGACUACUGGCAGGAUCAACCAGGUAGCAUUCCUUUUUGUCGAAGGCACCGUAUGAGCAAAAGGAAGAAUAUCAUCCUUAUGUCAACACAGGGCACAACAGACUUCCAUAAGGGACAUUUAUUUCGGACAAAUAAGGACCAAGACCCCAACCGAUCAUGUUUCUGCAUACAAGAUUGCUAGCUACACAUGGACAUCCGAUGCCUACAUGACCAAAUGGAAACAUAGGGAGGGACGUCGAAGUUAGUUUCAUUGUCUGCCUCGCACAAAUUUAGGAGCAUGAGACAAAUAUGGGACCGUGGGACUAUGAAAUUCCGUCAAUAUAGGUAUGUUGCACAGGGGGCCAAGUCAACCAAAGGCAAAAUAUUAGCUUCCAGGCAGAACUGAACACAUAUGCACAAGCGGUGUCGCUGCCGAGGCAGGUCCAACCAACCGGAACAUACCAAUCACC